UAGCCUUGGACGAAUCGGACCAGCUGGUC
rnacentral:sRNA from 1 species